CCUACGGGUGGCAGCAGUGAGGAAUAUUGGUCAAUGGGCGCGAGCCUGAACCAGCCAAGUCGCGUGAAGGAUGAAUGCCCUACGGGUUGUAAACUUCUUUUAUAAAGGAAUCAAGGUAGGCACGUGUGCAUUUUUGCAUGUACUUUAUGAAUAAGGAUCGGCUAACUCCGUGCCAGCAGCCGCGGUAAUACGGAGGAUUCGAGCGUUAUCCGGAUUUAUUGGGUUUAAAGGGAGCGUAGAUGGGUUGUUAAGUCAGUGGUGAAAGUUUGCGGCUCAACCGUAAAAUUGCAGUUGAUACUGGCAGUCUUGAGUGCAGUUGAGGUAGGCGGAAUUCGUGGUGUAGCGGUGAAAUGCUUAGAUAUCACGAAGAACUCCGAUUGCGAAGGCAGCUUACUAAAC
rnacentral:rRNA from 1 species